rnacentral:rRNA from 1 species
UGGGGAAUAUUGGACAAUGGGGGCAACCCUGAUCCAGCCAUGCCGCGUGCGUGAAGAAGGCCUUAGGGUUGUAAAGCGCUUUCAGCGGGGAAGAUAAUGACAGUACCUGGUAAAGAAACCCCGGCUAACUCCGUGCCAGCAGCCGCGGUAAUACGGAGGGGGUUAGCGUUGUUCGGAAUUACUGGGCGUAAAGCGCGCGUAGGCGGAUUAGUCAGUCAGAGGUGAAAUCCCGGGGCUCAACCCCGGAACUGCCUUUGAUACUGCUAGUCUUGAGUUCGAGAGAGGUGAGUGGAAUUCCGAGUGUAGAGGUGAAAUUCGUAGAUAUUCGGAGGAACACCAGUGGCGAAGGCGGCUCACUGGCUCGAUACUGACGCUGAGGUGCGAAAGCGUGGGGAGCAAACAGGAUUAGAUACCCGUGUAGUCC